rnacentral:rRNA from 1 species
CUUAGGAACCAUAUCAACCUGCAACUCACAACAUGCAACCCACUGAAGCUAAACAGGUGUGAGCCUGGUCAGUACCUGGAUGGGAGACCUCCUGGGAAAAACAAAGGUUGUUGCUGGAA